rnacentral:lncRNA from 1 species
UCAACAUCAGUUAGAGACAGCGGGGGCUGAGUCAGCCUUAGGAGUGCUCGGCGAACCUUCUGCCUAAGAUCUGCGGAGUCUGCCAGACACCCCAUCACCCCUGUAAAUUGCCUGAUUCUGCCAGAAGAUACUGGACCCUUCACCUACAUCUCCAGUCAUGAGACUUCCCUCCUACAGGGAGGCUUUUGUUUAGCUGGGCUGAAGUGCUGAGAAAGGGCCCCGGUGGCAGAGGGUCCCAAACACAUGUUAGUGAAAGAACAGCUUCCAUGGACUGCUGAGCAAGUGCUGGGUUCAUUCAUACAACAAUCCUGUCCAGCCUACUCCAAUGCAGUAUGAAAUUCUGGGACCUCCAAGGGAGCAAAUUACACAUAUACACAGGACCACAGUAGCCCUGAUUCACCCAAGAAUCUCCACUGCCACAAAAUGAGGAUACAACAAGGGGAGGACAAGUCAAUAAACAUUUCUCUAGCACUGGGUUAGGAGUCUUCUGUGUGUUAUUGAACUGUGAGAAGGCGUGUAAGAAAGAACAUGCCUUUCUUGUGAAAUGGAUUUUACGAUCUCCACUAUAGAGCUGAAGACCUCCAGGCUCACACCUGUGACAAAUUGGCCAGACUUUUCUGGCACCAAGGACUGCCCUCUUUCAUCAAGUUACCCAGCAGACAAUCAAAGGUGUCAGCUUUCUUCACCAAGGUUUGAUAAUGUUCUAGGGCCCUGGGGAGAGCAAGAGGAGCCUCCGGUAAAAUUGUGAAAUGAGUGAGGUUUGGAUUGGACUCCUUAUAGCAAUCUUCUUCCUACUCGGACAUCCGGCAAGUCCCUUUGCUGACCUCCUUUCACCCCCAGGGCUACUGGCAGAGAAUCCCUGAAAACCAAAAGGGUUGAAGAUGUUAUCUUUUCUAGAGGACACUCAGAGAACAAAAAGGCUUAGAGCUUAAAUUGUGGCAUUUCAGGCUCUAAGAGGGGCAGUGUCUACAAACACCUUAAGUUGCGUUCCCAGCACUUCCCCAGAAGGCAAAAAGAAACUACCUGGAGCACGUUGGAUAUGGGGCUCUAGUUCUGAGACUGAAAAAUCCCAGUUCUCUGCUGAAGUUUGAGGCAUUUAGAACAGCUCCCCUCCCGACCCAAAGGAUGAUUUACUGCAUGGAAGGAGGCUCUUCAGUAUCAUGUGCACAGUGCCACAGCAUUGUAUCUGCCGUCACACCCCGUAUGUUCAGUGCGGCCAUGAGAAAUCAAGGCAUAGGACUGGUGAAGCAUGAGGCACAUGCCCUCCCAAAUUGGGAGUAAAACAAUGUCCCAGGCACCACUACUUUCUUAAACAUUGCUCUGAAAGUGCUAGUCAAUAUAUUUACACAAGGCCAGGUGCAGUGGCUCAUGCCUGUAAUCCCAGCACUUUGGGAGGCUGAGA